UUCCCGGAUGUAGCUCAGCGGUUCUUUCGGCUAAGGCAUCAGCUUCUAACCACUUGCGAGGUGGUUCGAGAUCCGCGGGCGUUCUCCAGUUUU
rnacentral:vault_RNA from 1 species